CUCGUGCCGUGAGGUGUCGGGUUAAGUCCCAUAACGAGCGCAACCCCUAUCAUUAGUUGCCAUCAGGUCAAGCUGGGGACUCUAAUGAAACUGCCUACGCAAGUAGUGAGGAAGGUGGGGAUGAACGUCAAAUCAGCACGGCCCUUACGUCCAGGGCUACACACGUGCUACAAUGGCCGGUACAAAGGGCAGCUACCUGGUGACAGGAUGCUAAUCUCAAAAGCCGGUCUACAGUUCGGAUCGGAGUCUGGCAACCCGACUCCGUGAACGCUGGAAUCGCUAGUAAUCGCGCAUCAGCCAUGGCGCGGUGAAUACGUUCCCCGGGCCUU
rnacentral:rRNA from 1 species